UAGGGAAUAUUGCUUAAUGGGCGAAAGCCUGAAGCAGCAACGCCGCGUGUGCGAUGAAGGCCUUCGGGUUGUAAAGCACUUUUUGGAGAGAUGAGGAAGGACAGUAUCUCCAGAAUAAGCCUCGGCUAACUACGUGCCAGCAGCCGCGGUAACACGUAGGAGGCAAGCGUUAUCCGGAUUUAUUGGGCGUAAAGCGCGUGCAGGCGGUUCAGAAAGUUGGAUGUGAAAGCUCCUGGCUUAACUAGGAGAGGUCGUUCAAAACUUCUGGACUCGAGUAUGGGAGAGGGAGGUGGAAUUCCGGGUGUAGUGGUGAAAUGCGUAGAUAUCCGGAGGAACACCAGUGGCGAAAGCGGCCUCCUGGCCCAAAACUGACGCUCAGACGCGAAAGCUAGGGGAGCA
rnacentral:rRNA from 1 species